rnacentral:rRNA from 1 species
AUUGAACGCUGGCGGCGUGCUUAACACAUGCAAGUCGAGCGGUAACAGGUGUAGCAAUACAUGCUGACGAGCGGCGAACGGGUGAGUAAUGCUUCGGAAUCUUCCUCGUAGUGGGGAAUAACCUGGGGAAACUCAGGCUAAUACCGCAUACGAACUACGGUUGAAAGCAGGGGGAUCGCAAGACCUUGCGCUAUGAGAUGAGCCGAAGUCGGAUUAGCUAGUUGGUGAGGUAAAGGCUCACCAAGGCGACGAUCCGUAGCUGGUCUGAGAGGACGACCAGCCACACUGGGACUGAGACACGGCCCAGACUCCUACGGGAGGCAGCAGUGGGGAAUAUUGGACAAUGGGGGCAACCCUGAUCCAGCGACGCCGCGUGUGUGAAGAAGGCCUGCGGGUUGUAAAGCACUUUUAGUGGGGAUGAAAAGCCAAGGGCUAAUACCCUUUGGUCUUGACCUAACCCAAAGAAAAGCAACCGGCUAACUCUGUGCCAGCAGCCGCGGUAAU